rnacentral:rRNA from 1 species
AGCGAACGCUGGCGGCAUGCCUAACACAUGCAAGUCGAACGCUCGUAGCAAUACGAGAGUGGCGGACGGGUGAGAAACGCGUGGGUACCUGCCCUGUAGUACGGAAUAACCGCGGGAAACUGCGGCUAAUACCGUAUACGCCCCAAGGGGGAAAGAUUUAUCGCUACAGGAGGGGCCCGCGUCGGAUUAGCUAGUUGGUGAGGUAACGGCCCACCAAGGCGAUGAUCCGUAGCUGGUCUGAGAGGACGGCCAGCCACACUGGGACUGAGGCACGGCCCAGACUCCUACGGGAGGCAGCAGUGGGAGAGAUUGGACAAUGGCGGAAACCCUGAUCCAGCACUGCCGCGUGGGUGAAGAAGGCCUUCGGGUUGUAAAGCUCUUGCAGCGGGGAAGAUGAUGACGGUACCCGCAGAAGAAGCCCCGGCUAACUCCGUGCCAGCCGCCGCAGUAAGAC